UGGGGAAUAUUGGACAAUGGGCGCAAGCCUGAUCCAGCCAUGCCGCGUGAGUGAUGAAGGCCCUAGGGUUGUAAAGCUCUUUCAACGGUGAAGAUAAUGACGGUAACCGUAGAAGAAGCCCCGGCUAACUUCGUGCCAGCCGCCGCGGUAAUACGAAGGGGGCUAGCGUUGUUCGGAAUUACUGGGCGUAAAGCGCACGUAGGCGGAUCGGUCAGUUAGGGGUGAAAUCCCAGGGCUCAACCCUGGAACUGCCUUUAAUACUUUUAUUCUUGAGUUCGGGAGAGAGAGACGGAAUUCCAGGUGUAGUGGUGAAAUACGUAGAUAUCAGGAGGAACACCUGCGGUGUAGACAGCUUUCUGGACCAAAACUGACGCUGAGGCACGAAAGCGUGGGUAGCAAACA
rnacentral:rRNA from 1 species